UGCUGCGAUGAGACAAAUGUCUGAACUGGUGUGGGGACUAUGUGGAACAUGUGGAAGCUAACGCAGAAUAAUA
rnacentral:lncRNA from 1 species